rnacentral:rRNA from 1 species
AGAGGGUGCGAGCGUUAAUCGGAAUUACUGGGCGUAAAGCGUGCGUAGACGGCUAUCUAAGUCGGGUGUGAAAGCCCCGGGCUCAACCUGGGAAUUGCAUUCGAGACUGAAUAGCUAGGGUGCGGUAGAGGGAAGCGGAAUUUCCGGUGUAGCGGUGAAAUGCGUAGAUAUCGGAAGGAACAUCAGUGGCGAAAGCGGCUUCCUGGACCAGCACCGACGUUCAGGCACGAAAGCGUGGGGAGCAAACAGGAUUAGAUACCCUGGUAGUCCACGCCAUAAACGAUGAGGACUAGACGUUGGAGGGGUAAGCCUUUCAGUGUCGUAGCUAACGCGCUAAGUCCUCCGCCUGGGGAGUACGGCCGCAAGGUUGAA